AACGAACGCUGGCGGCAUGCCUAACACAUGCAAGUCGAACGAGACCUUCGGGACUAGUGGCGCACGGGUGCGUAACGCGUGGGAACCUGCCCUUAGGUUCGGAAUAACUCCCCGAAAGGGGUGCUAAUACCGGAUAAUGUCUUCGGACCAAAGAUUUAUCGCCUUUGGAUGGGCCCGCGUUGGAGUAGCUUGUUGGUAGGGUAAAAGCCUACCAAGGCGACGAUCCAUAGCUGGGCUGAGAGGAUGGUCAGCCACACUGGGGCUGGGACACGGCCCAGACUCCUACGGGAGGCAGCAGUGGGGAAUAUUGGACAAUGGGCGAAAGCCUGAUCCAGCAAUGCCGCGUGAGUGAUGAAGGUCUUAGGGUUGUAAAGCUCUUUUACCCGGGAUGAUAAUGACAGUACCGGGAGAAUAAGCUCCGGCUAACUCCGUG
rnacentral:rRNA from 1 species